GCUGGUUGAUCAGAAUGGCUGGUUAAGAUGUUCUCACAAUACAGGAUUCAUCCAGCUCUGCUUCUCCUGCUUUACUGUCUGCUGUGCUCAGCUGGAGGAGAGGUUGUCAGACUGCAGGAGCUGGAGGGAAACACUGUGACCAUCCAUACUGGAUUAACUGAAGCUCAGAGUGAUGCUCACAUACUGUGGUUUUAUGGACCUGAGAACGCAGAAAUAAAGAUAGUGAACAGUGAGAGCUUUGAAGGAAAGAUUAUUACAAACUAUUACAGUCAGAUAUUCAGAGACAGUCUGCAGCUGAACAGAACCAGUGGAUCUUUAACCAUCAGGAACAUCAGCAGAGAAGAUUCUGGAGUUUAUAAACUACAGAUCAUUACUGGAAUAUCCUUAGACUGGAAUUACAGUGUUGAUGUCUAUGCUCCAGUAUUAAAGCCAGUCAUAAGAAAUCAAGCUGAAAAGCGCUCAGUGAGUCUCAGAGAGUCGUGUUCUCCUCUGUGCUCUGUGGAGAACGGGAAGGAUGUGAGUUUGUCCUGGUAUGAAGAGAGAGAGAGAAUCUCCAGCAUCAGCAGCUCAGAUUCCAGUGAACGUCUUUAUCUUCCUCUGAAUAAAACCAACCCAGACUGUUCUACUUACACCUGUGUAGCUGCUAAUCCAGUCAGCACUCAGACAACCCAGCUCAACAUUACAAACAUCUGCAUUAAAACAGUCUCAGGUACGAAAGGUCCUAGAGAUCUCUCCAAAUCACUGGCUGCUGUUCUGACACCUGUUGGUCUGAUUGUUGCUCUAUUAAUUUUAUUUUUGUGGAUCUGGAAAAAGAAGACAAGCAACAAGUUUGUGAAGACGCUGAGCUGAAUUAUGCUGAAGUGAAAACUAAACCUCACGGUUCAAAUGAAGCUCAUGAGGUAAACAGAGCUGGAGGGACAGAAGUUCAAGACCAGACUGAGCCAGUGGUUUACUCUCCUAUCAGGACGUAACUCUGUAUUUCAGCAUCAGAAUAUCCUUUUUAAUUAUUUUACAUUUUUAGCCCAUUACUGCCCUCUUUUCCUCAGUAUUCAACCUGCUAGCUGUUUAAAACUAGUCACAAGCAUUAACUGUAUUUGUAUCCAUCUGUGUAUUUGUGCUGUGUUCCUUGUUUAGGGUAUGAAUUUCAUGAAAACAUUUCAUUCUGAACAACUAUAAACUGGCAUUUCAGUAUUUUGUACUCAUUUUGGUUUUGUUAUUUACUGUCUUGAACACUGUCUGCCUCACCAAGCUGAGUUCUUGCUUAUAAAGUUAAUAUAAGCCUAUAAACAGCACAACACACUUUAGUUUUGUUUGACCUUUUUUGUCCUUCAGUAACAGUAGCUGACUUUAGCCGCCUGCCUAACUAGCUUGAUUAUUUUGAUAACGUGGUUACGUGUGCGUAGGGUCUGUUGCUAGGUAACAGCCAUAAGUCUUCUUAACCUGAGAAGAUGCUGUAAGAUAAAAUUCCCAAAUCAAGUAAGAUUUGUUUCUGUAAUAUAAAUAUAUGAAAAAUCUUAACUUGACCUGUCAGAUCUUAAAUUAAGAAAAAAGAUAGGAAGUCUCAGUAAUGCGGUCCCUGGAUUUCACAUCAUAAACAGCUUUUGGACAAAUCAGCACUGAGCUGUAGAUUAAUCAGGGACUUGUGGAGGUGGACACUUCUGGUCACUUAUUUUUUUUGUGGCAUCAGUAAUAUGAUUUUUUUUUUUUUUUUAGCAGAGGAAACAAAUGAUACUACAUAAUUAUAAAGAACAGAAAUUAUUACUCCACUAAUCACCAACAUGGUGGCAGUGUCCACUUUAAUAUCUACGUAUUUUUGCUGUGAUUUUCUUUAUCCCUCUUUAAGAAAUAUUUGUUUUGACUCAUUGUGUUUCACAUGAUUAGCGGUUCAUUAUAAAUGCCACAUUUUAUGGGUGUGAUGUGCACAAGGAUUAGUCUAAAACGUGGUUAACAGAGGAAGUGGUUACGAAUUAACUGCCACUCUGUUUGUUAGAUUUUGUGAAGCUGUAAAGUCAGGAAUCCCAUCUCAGCUGAACUUGCUUUGUGAGACAGACCCUGAUGAUGAGUUUACUAAAGCCGCUCUGUACUUUUCUGUAUUUUAAUCGAGGACACACACAGCUGGUGAUGUGAAGCUCAGCGCUUAUGAAGCACUAAAAGCUAUUUGACUGCUAAAAGCGCCCUCUUCUGGAGAAUCCAUCUGGACUGACCUUUCGCCACUCAUACUUUAGCACCUUAUAAAAUAAAAUAAGUGUAAAUAGAUCAAAGUAGGUGUUUCUUUGCAAGCUUUAAAAGUCUACAUAAAGGGCUACGGUGUGUCAAAAUAAAAGCCCCUCUUAACAAAGUAUGAUGUCAGAAUAAAAGUCCUGUGCAGAAAA